rnacentral:rRNA from 1 species
AGCGUACACGGUGGAUGCCCUGGCAGUCAGAGGCGAUGAAGGACGUGCUAAUCUGCGAAAAGCGUCGGUAAGGUGAUAUGAACCGUUAUAGCCGGCGAUGUCCGAAUGGGGAAACCCAGUGCAAUUCGUUGCACUAUCGUUAACUGAAUACAUAGGUUAACGAGGCGAACCGGGGGAACUGAAACAUCUAAGUACCCCGAGGAAAAGAAAUCAACCGAGAUUCCCCCAGUAGCGGCGAGCGAACGGGGAGCAGCCCAGAGUCUGAAUCAGCUUGUGUGUUAGUGGAACGGUCUGGAAAGUCCGACGGUACAGGGUGAUAGUCCCGUACACCAAAAUGCACAGGCUGUGAACUCGAAGAGUAGGGCGGGACACGUGGUAUCCUGUCUGAAUAUGGGGGGACCAUCCUCCAAGGCUAAAUACUCCUGACUGACCGAUAGUGAACCAGUACCGUGAGGGAAAGGCGAAAAGAACCCCGGCGAGGGGAGUGAAAAAGAACCUGAAACCGUGUACGUACAAGCAGUGGGAGCACCUUCGGGUGUGACUGCGUACCUUUUGUAUAAUGGGUCAGCGACUUAUAUUCUGUAGCAAGGUUAACCGUAUAGGGGAGCCGCAGGGAAACCGAGUCUUAACUGGGCGUUAAGUUGCAGGGUAUAGACCCGAAACCCGGUGAUCUAGCCAUGGGCAGGUUGAAGGUUGGGUAACACUAACUGGAGGACCGAACCGACUAAUGUUGAAAAAUUAGCGGAUGACUUGUGGCUGGGGGUGAAAGGCCAAUCAAACCGGGAGAUAGCUGGUUCUCCCCGAAAGCUAUUUAGGUAGCGCCUCGUGAACUCAUCUUCGGGGGUAGAGCACUGUUUCGGCUAGGGGGUCAUCCCGACUUACCAACCCGAUGCAAACUACGAAUACCGAAGAAUGUUAUCACGGGAGACACACGGCGGGUGCUAACGUCCGUCGUGAAGAGGGAAACAACCCAGACCGCCAGCUAAGGUCCCAAAGUCAUGGUUAAGUGGGAAACGAUGUGGGAAGGCACAGACAGCCAGGAUGUUGGCUUAGAAGCAGCCAUCAUUUAAAGAAAGCGUAAUAGCUCACUGGUCGAGUCGGCCUGCGCGGAAGAUGUAACGGGGCUAAACCAUGCACCGAAGCUGCGGCAGCGACACUAUGUGUUGUUGGGUAGGGGAGCGUUCUGUAAGCCUGCGAAGGUGACCUGUGAGGGUUGCUGGAGGUAUCAGAAGUGCGAAUGCUGACAUAAGUAACGAUAAAGCGGGUGAAAAGCCCGCUCGCCGGAAGACCAAGGGUUCCUGUCCAACGUUAAUCGGGGCAGGGUGAGUCGACCCCUAAGGCGAGGCCGAAAGGCGUAGUCGAUGGGAAACAGGUUAAUAUUCCUGUACUUGGUGUUACUGCGAAGGGGGGACGGAGAAGGCUAUGUUAGCCGGGCGACGGUUGUCCCGGUUUAAGCAUGUAGGCUGGUUAUCCAGGCAAAUCCGGAUAAUCAAGGCUGAGGUGUGAUGACGAGGCACUACGGUGCUGAAGUAACAAAUGCCCUGCUUCCAGGAAAAGCCUCUAAGCAUCAGGUAACAUUAAAUCGUACCCCAAACCGACACAGGUGGUCAGGUAGAGAAUACCAAGGCGCUUGAGAGAACUCGGGUGAAGGAACUAGGCAAAAUGGUGCCGUAACUUCGGGAGAAGGCACGCUGGUGUGUAGGUGAAGUCCCUGCGGAUGGAGCUGAGACCAGUCGAAGAUACCAGCUGGCUGCAACUGUUUAUUAAAAACACAGCACUGUGCAAACACGAAAGUGGACGUAUACGGUGUGACGCCUGCCCGGUGCCGGAAGGUUAAUUGAUGGGGUUAUCCGUAAGGAGAAGCUCUUGAUCGAAGCCCCGGUAAACGGCGGCCGUAACUAUAACGGUCCUAAGGUAGCGAAAUUCCUUGUCGGGUAAGUUCCGACCUGCACGAAUGGCGUAAUGAUGGCCAGGCUGUCUCCACCCGAGACUCAGUGAAAUUGAACUCGCUGUGAAGAUGCAGUGUACCCGCGGCAAGACGGAAAGACCCCGUGAACCUUUACUAUAGCUUGACACUGAACAUUGAGCCUUGAUGUGUAGGAUAGGUGGGAGGCUUUGAAGCGUGGACGCCAGUCUGCGUGGAGCCAACCUUGAAAUACCACCCUUUAAUGUUUGAUGUUCUAACGUUGGCCCCUGACCGGGGUUGCGGACAGUGUCUGGUGGGUAGUUUGACUGGGGCGGUCUCCUCCCAAAGCGUAACGGAGGAGCACGAAGGUUAGCUAAUCCUGGUCGGACAUCAGGAGGUUAGUGCAAUGGCAUAAGCUAGCUUGACUGCGAGCGUGACGGCGCGAGCAGGUGCGAAAGCAGGUCAUAGUGAUCCGGUGGUUCUGAAUGGAAGGGCCAUCGCUCAACGGAUAAAAGGUACUCCGGGGAUAACAGGCUGAUACCGCCCAAGAGUUCAUAUCGACGGCGGUGUUUGGCACCUCGAUGUCGGCUCAUCACAUCCUGGGGCUGAAGUAGGUCCCAAGGGUAUGGCUGUUCGCCAUUUAAAGUGGUACGCGAGCUGGGUUUAGAACGUCGUGAGACAGUUCGGUCCCUAUCUGCCGUGGGCGCUGGAGAAUUGAGGGGGGCUGCUCCUAGUACGAGAGGACCGGAGUGGACGCAUCACUGGUGUUCGGGUUGUCAUGCCAAUGGCACUGCCCGGUAGCUAAAUGCGGAAGAGAUAAGUGCUGAAAGCAUCUAAGCACGAAACUUGCCCCGAGAUGAGUUCU